AUUGAACGCUGGCGGAAUGCUUUACACAUGCAAGUCGAACGAUGAAGUCUAGCUUGCUAGACGGAUUAGUGGCGAACGGGUGAGUAAUAUAUCGGAACGUAUCCAUUAAUGGGGGAUAACUAGUCGAAAGAUUGGCUAAUACCGCAUACGUCCCACGGGAGAAAGCUGGGGAUCGUAAGACCUGGCGUUAAUGGAGCGGCCGAUAUCUGAUUAGCUAGUUGGUGAGGUAAAGGCUCACCAAGGCGACGAUCAGUAGCUGGUCUGAGAGGACGGCCAGCCACACUGGAACUGAGACACGGUCCAGACUCCUACGGGAGGCAGCAGUGGGGAAUUUUGGACAAUGGGCGAAAGCCUGAUCCAGCCAUUCCGCGUGAGUGAAGAAGGCCUUCGGGUUGUAAAGCUCUUUCGCAAGGGAAGAAAACUUAUCCUCUAACAUAGGGUGAGGUUGACGGUACCUUGAUAAGAAGCACCGGCUAACUACGUGCCAGCAGCCGCCGUAAAAC
rnacentral:rRNA from 1 species